rnacentral:tRNA from 1 species
GGGGAUGUUGCUUAGUGGUAAAGUGCUUGCCUGGCAUGCAUGAGGCCCUGGGUUCAAUCCCCAGCACCA